CGGGUUGUAAAGCACUUUCAGUAGGGAGGAAGGUAGUGUAGUUAACACCUGCACAUUUGACGUUACCUACAGAAGAAGCACCGGCUAACUCCGUGCCAGCAGCCGCGGUAAUACGGAGGGGUGCGAGCGUUAAUCGGAAUUACUGGGCGUAAAGCGCAUGCAGGCGGCCUGUUAAGUCAGAUGUGAAAGCCCGGGGCGUUAACCUCGGAAUUGCAUUUGUAAACUAGGCAGGCUAGAGUCUUGUAGAGGGGGGGUAGGAAUUUCAGGUGUAGCGGUGAAAUGCGUAGAGAUCUGAAGGAAUACCAGUGGCGAAGGCGGCCCCCUGGACAAAGACUGACGCUCAGAUGCGAAAGCGUGGGGAGCAAACAGGAUUAGAUACCCCUGGUAG
rnacentral:rRNA from 1 species